rnacentral:rRNA from 1 species
UACGAAGGGGGCUAGCGUUGUUCGGAAUUACUGGGCGUAAAGCGCACGUAGGCGGAUAUUUAAGUCAGGGGUGAAAUCCCAGAGCUCAACUCUGGAACUGCCUUUGAUACUGGGUAUCUUGAGUCGGAGAGGUGAGUGGAACUGCGAGUGUAAGAGGUGAAAUUCGUAGAUAAUUCGCAAGAACACCGGUGGCGAAGGCGGC